CAUCUUGACUGAUGGCAACUCUCAGAGGUUGACUCUCCUAUAUGAACUCUCUGCAUCUAUUGAUGACCUUAUAGUUGAAGUGCAGACACAGUGUGGACUUGAGGGCCCUUUCAGACUUCAGUUCAUGGAUAUCUUGUUCGGAAAUGAGUUCCUUAAUCUUACCUCUGUUUCAGAAGUUGAAGACAGGUACUCUUAAAGUCGUUGAUAGGCCCACCUCCGUACAGCAUGAAGAGAUUCCUGCUUUUUUCAAUAUAUAUAACGCCACAAGUUCUUGGCCCUUCUUCUGUGCAUGAUUCUUCAUCACUAUCAAGUGGAACUGUGGAUACAGAUGUACUGUCAUCCAGUGAAUCAACAAGCUCUCGAUCCUCUUGGCCUGAUGUUUUUUAUGUACCAAAGUUCUCCUAUGAUGCUGAAAUCAAGCUUCAGCAGGCAAAUAUAGCUUACAUUAAAAAUGGCACAACACUUAUUCCAGACCCCAAGUUGAAAUCAACCAUCCUUGAUUCUUUGGUGCAGGAAGUUGUACAGUAUAAAGUCUGUGUGAGAGAUAAAGAAAUGGAACAGGUUGCUCAGAGUCUUAUCAAAAAACACCCCUGUUUAACUGAGAAGGGGGUCUUGCACUGGAUAUGGGGGAUGGAAAACUAGUUUGAAGUAUAAAAUCUCAAACUACCGCAUACACCUGAGAAAACUGGGCUGCCCAGAAGUGACAGUUAACUCUUUAAAAACAACCCUGAAGGAAAAUGAGUGCAGCCUUUAGUUUGAAAAAGGCCAAGAGAGCAGAAGUGAAUUUUUCUCCUGCAUACCCAUCAACAGAAACUGAGCAGAGUCUGGAGGCCAUGCAGAAAGCUCUUCUCUCCGAUGUAAAGAAAAAGAACAACAGAGAGGUUGUGAAAGUCAAGAUGGAAAGUACAUUUACUCACAGAAGACAUGAAGUUGUUCCAGAUGCACCAAUGGUCAGAGAUUUCAUGCAAAGGUGGCUUGCUCUGUUUGAAGUCAGUGAGGUCAAUGCAGAAUUUAGGCGAAUUACUACUGACCCACUUCAAAGUUCCUGUCCCAGCUUGAUGUGUAUUCUGACAGGCUGAUGAGGCUCUUCCAAAAGAGAGGUGGCAAACUAGGUGUACAGCUCAAAAAGGUUGUUGAACAAAUGGCUGAGUGUGAUGAUGUAGAUGCUGGACGAGAGUGCAUCAUUAAAGGGGUCUGUAUCUAUAUGGGUGAAGAUCCUGAAAGCCUUGUGAAAGAAUAUGUGGGCAUGGAUGGAAAAGCCAUGGACGAGGCCAUUGAGGACACUACUAUUGGUAUUUAUGUUGUGAAAGAACAUUUUUCAUAUGAGGAACCAGAGGACAUUGGCA